GUCCAUUGGAACAUGGCGUCAUAGAGGGUGAGAAUCCCGUAUGCGACUGUGGCUCGAGCCUAUGUGAAGCCUCUUCGACGAGUCGAGUUGUUUGGGAAUGCAGCUCAAAAUGGGUGGUAAAUUUCAUCUAAAGCUAAAUAUUGGCUGGAGACCGAUAGCGCACAAGUAGAGUGAUCGAAAGAUGAAAAGCACUUUGGAAAGAGAGUCAAACAGUACGUGAAAUUGUUGAAAGGGAAGCGCUUGCAACCAGACCUGUCCGUAGGUGAUCAGCCGCUGUUCUCAGUGGUGCACUCGCUCUGCGAUCAGGCCAGCAUCGGUUCUGGCGGUCGGAUAAAGGCCCUGGGAAUGUAGCUCCCUUCGGGGAGUCUUAUAGCCCUCGGUGCAAUGCGGCCAGCCGGGACCGAGGACCGCGCUUCGGCUAGGAUGCUGGCGUAAUGGUUGUAAGCGACCCGUCUUGAAACACGGACCAAGGAGUCUACAACUUAUGCGAGUGUUUGGGUGUUAAACCCAUGCGCGGAAUGAAAGUGAACGGAGGUGAGAACCCUUAAGGGCGCAUCAUCGACCGAUCCAGAUGUCUUCGGAUGGAUUUGAGUAUGAGCAUAAUUCGUGGGACCCGAAAGAUGGUGAACUAUGCCUGAAUAGGGUGAAGCCAGAGGAAACUCUGGUGGAGGCUCGCAGCGGUUCUGACGUGCAAAUCGAUCGUCAAAUUUGGGUAUAGGGGCGAAAGACUAAUC
rnacentral:rRNA from 1 species